UACGUAGGGCGCAAGCGUUGUCCGGAAUUAUUGGGCGUAAAGAGCUCGUAGGCGGCUUGUCACGUCGGGUGUGAAAGCUCGGGGCUUAACCCCGGGUCUGCAUUCGAUACGGGCUGGCUGGAGUGUGGUAGGGGAGACUGGAAUUCCUGGUGUAGCGGUGGAAUGCGCAGAUAUCAGGAGGAACACCGAUGGCGAAGGCAGGUCUCUGGGCCAUUACUGACGCUGAGAAGCGAAAGCGUGGGGAGCGAACAGG
rnacentral:rRNA from 1 species